UUGGGGGCGGGGCCUGUUGCCCCUUUCUGCGCGAGCUGUUAAACUAGGUUUGAGUGUGGUAUCCUGGAGGUUUAAGUUGUCAAAUGCGAGGGGAGCCGUGGAUGCCUUAUGAAGUCACGUUCUGGGAUCGCUGAAAUCCAAAGGUUUCUUUUUGUCACGUGGCUCUCUCAUCUUUCCCAGCAGGUUCUGGGGUGGGAGACCCCGGGUGUGGGGAUGAGGAUCUCGCUUCUUUGGGGAAGUGAGUUCUCCGCUGCUUGCGUCGAAGGAACCUCGAGAAUGUAGCUCUUCAAACCUUCUUAAUUCUUCUCAGUUCUCCUGCCGUACGACCUCCCUAGCUCCUUCUCAGCAGAAGACCUUGCCUUCGCGGAAGGAAUGCAACAUCACAUCAAGGACACUCGUCUCCAGGGUCACUGUUCUACCCAAUGGGCGUACAGCAGAAGGCAAAACAACAGUGGAGCUUACAUUCUAGCGAGGAAAAACAGACAUUAUGUCAGGUGGUGAUCAGUGUGAAGAAAAAAGUAAAGCAGAGGAGAAAGAGAUCAACAGUACCAAGGCAGCAUUCAGAUAUGAGACAACAUUGGGUGCACCAUGGAUCCAUGAGUCCUAAGGAAUUGUGUGAUGCUGGGAAAUGGGCUGCAUUAAGGAAAUGAGCAUUGGAAAUUUAUGCUGGAAUGUUUUUGAGUUAUCUCUGCACGUAUGAAUGGCUUUGUGAUUAUAAAAAACAAUUUUAUGUGUCUCGGUUUCAUGUUUAUAUCUUUUGUUAAUUAAAAAUAAUUAUUUCUUGA